rfam:Neotoma lepida isolate 417 scaffold_93330, whole genome shotgun sequence.
GUGCUUACUCCAACAGCAUAUAUACUAAAAUUGGAACAGUACAAACAAGAUUACCCUGGCCCCUGACUAAGGGUGAUAUACAAACUCAUGAAGCAUUCUAUAAUUAA